rnacentral:rRNA from 1 species
AUGAUACGUUUUGGGUCCUGGAUCACAGGAUCAGAUCACUUGCACCGCACAGUAGGUGACGAGAAUCUGAAUAAUGCUGUCUUUUGGGUUGUUGCUUUUUUUAUCGCUGAAUGUGUUCCUUGUGCGGUUUUCUUUGUGCUAGUGGACCGGAUGACACGGAAACAUGCAGUAUAUAUUCAAAAAUCAGUACUCUUGUAUAAGAUGACAAGAUGUACACGCGAGUGCUCUGUUCUUGUACUAGCAUUGUUAAAUCUAGAAAAAGUAUUGGAUCUCUUUGUUUAUUUAUGCCCGGCCAUGUGA